rnacentral:rRNA from 1 species
AUACGGAGGAUCCGAGCGUUAUCCGGAUUUAUUGGGUUUAAAGGGUGUGCAGGCGGGAGAUUAAGUCGGUGGUGAAAUUUUGCAGCUUAACUGUAACAGUGCCAUUGAUACUGGUUUUCUUGAGUGUGGAUGAAGUAGGCGGAAUUUGUGGUGUAGCGGUGAAAUGCAUAGAUAUCACGAGGAACUCCGAUCGCGUAGGCAGCUUACUAAACCAUAACUGACGCUCAUGCACGAAGGCGUGGGGAUCAAACAGGAUUAGAUACCCUGGUAGUCCACGCUGUAAACGAUGAUUACUGGCUGUUUGCGAUACACAGUAAGCGGCCCAGCGAAAGCGUUAAGUAAUCCACCUGGGGAGUACGUUCGCAAGAAUGAA